GACGAACGCUGGCGGCGUGCCUAAUACAUGCAAGUAGAACGCUGAAGCUUGGUGCUUGCACCGUGCUGAUGAGUUGCGAACGGGUGAGUAACGCGUAGGUAACCUGCCUGGUAGCGGGGUAUAAUUAUUGGAAACGUUCUCUAAUCCCGCAUAACAUUAGACUUCGCAUGUUAUCUACUUGAAAGUCGCAAAUUCACCACUACCUCAUGGCUCUGCGUUUUAUUGGUUAGUUGGUGAGGUACCGGCUCACUAAGGCAACGAUACAUAGCCGAACUGAGCGGGUGAUCGGCCACACUGGGACGGAGACAGGGCACAGACUGCUUCAGAAAGCAGCAGGAGGGAAUCGUCAGGAAUGGAGGGAAAACAGACCAAACAACGCCGCGUGAGUGAAGAAGGAUUUCGGAUCGGAAAGCUCUGUUGUAAGAGAAGAACGAGUGUGAGAGUGGAAAGUUCACACUGUGACGGUAUCUUACAAGAAAGAGACGGCUAACUACGUG
rnacentral:rRNA from 1 species